rnacentral:lncRNA from 1 species
GGGGUCAGGAGUUAAUUUGUCUUGAAAAGUAUUUAUCUUUUCGUCAUUGCUGUUAGGGUUCAGAUGUUUUUUGUUUAGUUAUCUGAGGAAUGUAGUGUUAGUAUAGGUUCCAAGGUGGAGGAUUCUUUGGAAUUCACUCUCACCCUUGAAACUGGAAGAUCUUAGAUUCUAUAAAGGGGGUGGGGGGGGGGGGUUAGAGGUUGUGUGCACAGAAGGAGCAUGGGCUGAGACUAUUCUCGGAAUGAUAUUGUGACAAGUCUGUCUGAAGGCAAGUGGCUGGUUAGGUGUGGGUAAGAGAUACAGUGAUAGCCCCUGCUUUCGUCAGUUGACUUGGCAGUUUGGGGUAGGCUGAUCAAGGGCUUGCACUGGCCGGCGCAUGUUAACCUGUCACAAGUUCCAGUCGAGUCUACGAGCUCAAUCUGUGUGUAAAAAUUAUGUGUUGGUAGAAAGUUUAAUGACUCAGCUCAGUUGGUAUGCUAUGCUGUCUAUCUUUUAGACUAUGUGUUUGUAGAGCAAUAUUAUGUAUAUAUUAUAUUACAGGACUAGGAAAAGGUUAAAGGUUUUUGGCGUGAGGGUUAAAAUCACUGUCCAAAACCUUUGUAGGAACUCUUUUCCAACCUUUUGGAGGGAGCUAGACUAAAAAAAAAAAAGAAAAAUGAAAAAAAAAAUGUUUGGGGUGUGAAGGCUUCCUUAAGGUAAUACCCGUGUACUAGUUUCUAGGCUAGGGUAAGGUUUAAGGUUUUUAGUGUUAGGGUUAAAGUCACUGUGCAAUAUUUUUUAAGGAACAUGUUUAAGACCUUUUGGAGUUAGUUAGACAAAAGAAAAUGAAAAAUAAAAAAAAAGUGGGGGGAUGUUAGGGCUUCCUUUAGGUAAUACCCGGGUAUUAGGUUACGGGGCUGGGGAAAGGUUUAAGGGCUUUGGUGUUAGGGUUAAAAUCACUGUCCAAAACCUUUGUAGGAACUCUUUUCCAACCAUUUGGAGUUAGUUAGACCAAAAAAAAAUAAAUAUUAAAAAAAAUGGGGUGUUAAGGCUUCCUUAAGGUUAUACCAGGGUAAUAGGUUACAGGGCUAGGUAAAGGGUAAAGGUUUUCGGCGUGAGGGUUAAGAUCAACGUCCAAAACCUUUGUAGGAACUCUUUUCCAACCUUUUGGAGUUAGUUAGACCAAAAAAAAUGAAGAAUGAAAAAAAAAAUAUUUAGGGUGUUCGGGCUUCCUGAAGGUAAUACCCAAGUAUUAGGUUUUGGGGCUAGGGUAAGGUUUAAGGUUUUUGGCGUAAGGGUUAAAAUCACUGUCCAAAACCUUUGUGGGAACAAGUUUCAGACCUUUUGGAGUUAGUUACACCAAAAAAAAUGUAAAAUGAAAAAAAUAUAUUUGGGGUGUUAGUGCUCCCUGAAGGUAAUACCCGGGUAUUAGGUUAUGGGGCUAGGGUAAGGUUCAAGGUUUUUGGCAUUAGGGUCAAAAUCACUGUACAAAACCUUUGUGGGAACAAGUUUCAGACCUUUUGGAGUUAGUUAGACCAAAAAAUAACGAAAAAUGAAAAAAAAUAUUUGGGGUUUUCGGGCUUCCUCAAGGUAAUACCCGGGUAUUAGGUUUUGGGGCUAGGGUAAGGUUUAAGGUUUUUGGCGUUAGGGUUAAAAUCACUGUCCAAAACCUUUGUAGGAACUCUUUUCCAACCUUUUGGAGUUAGUUUGACCAAAAAAGAAAAAGAAAAAAGAAAAAAAAAGAUUUGGGGUUUUCGGGCUUCCUGAAGGUAAUACCUGGGUAUUAGGUUAUGGGGCUAGGGUAAGGUUUAAGGUUUUUGGCGUUAGGGUUUAAAUCACUGUCCAAAACCUUUUUAGGAACAUGUUUCAGACCUUUUGGAGUUAGUUAGACCAAAAAAUAACGAAAAAUGAAAAAAAAAUAUUUGGGGUGUUCAGGCUUCCUGAAGGUAAUACACGGUUUCGGUUAUGGGGCUAUGGUCAGGUUUAAGGUUUUUGGCGUUAGGUGUUAAAAUCACUGUCCAAAACCUUUGUAGGAACUCUUUUCAAACCUUUUGGAGUUAGUUUGACAAAAAAAGAAAAAGAAAAAAGAAAAAAAAAUAUUUGGGGUUUUCGGGCUUCCUGAAGGUAAUACCCGGGUAUUAGGUUAUGGGGCUAGGGUAAGGUUUAAGGUUUUUGGCAUGAGGGUUAAAAACACUGUCCAAAACCUUUGUAGGAACUCUUUUCCAACCUUUUGGAGUAAGUAAGACCAAAAAAAAAUGAAAAAAGAAAAAAAAAUAGUUGGGGAUUUCGCGCUUCCUGAAGGUAAUACCCAGGUAUUAGGUUAUGGGGCUAGGGUAAGGUUUAAGGUUUUUGGCGUUAAGGUUAAAAUCACUGCCAAAAACUUUGUAGGAACUCUUUUCCAACCUUUUUGGAGUUAGUUAGACCAAAAAAAAUGAAAAAUGAAAAUAAAUAUUGGGGGUAUUCGGGCUUCCUGAAGGUCAUACCCGGGUAUUAGGUUAUGGGGCUAGGGUAAGGUUUAAGGUUUUUGGCGUUAGAGUUAAAAUCUGUGUCCAAAACCUUUGUAGGAACAUGUUUCAGACCUUUUGGAGUAAGUUAGACCAAAAAAUAACGAAAAAUAAAAAAAAUAUAUUUGGGGUUUUCGGGCUUCCUGAAGGUAAUACCCAGGUAUUAGGUUAUGGGGCUAGGGUAGGGUUUAAGGUUUUUGGCGUUAAGGUUAAAAUCACUGUCCAAAACCUUUUUAGGAACAUGUUUCAGAACUUUUGGAGUUGGUUACACCAAAAAAAAUGUAAAAUGAUAAAAAAAAUAGUUGGGGUUUUCGGGCUUCCUGAAGGUAAUACCCGGGUAUUAGGUUAUGGGGCUAGGGUAAGGUUUAAGGUUUUUGGCGUUAGGUGUUAAAAUCACUGUCCAAAACCUUUGUAGGAACUCUUUUCCAACCUUUUGGAGUUAGUUAGACCAAAAAAAAAAGAAAUAAGAAAAAAAAAAUUGGGGGUUAUCGGGCUUCCUGUAUGUAAUACUAUUAUUAGGUUAUGGGGAUAUGGUAAGGUUUAAGGUUUUUGGCAUGAGGGUUAUAAUCACUGUCCAAAACCUUUGUAGGAACUCUUUUCCAACCUUUUGGAGUUAGUUAGACCAAAAAAAAAGAAAAAUGAAAAAAAAUAUAUUUGGGGUGUUCGGGCUUCCUAAAGGUAAUACCCGGGUAUUAGGUUAUGGGACUAGGGUAAGGAUCAAGGUUUUUGGGGUUAGGGUUAAAAUCACUGUCCAAAACCUUUGUAGCAACUCUUUUCCAACCUUUUGGAGUUAGUUAGAACAAAAAAAAUGAAAAAUGAAAAAAAAUUUGGGGGGUAUUCGGGCUUCCUGAAGGUCAUACCCGGGUAUUAGGUUAUGGGGCUAGGGUAAGGUUUAAGGUUUUUGGCGUUAGAGUUAAAAUCUGUGUCCAAAACCUUUGUAGGAACAUGUUUCAGACCUUUUGGAGUUAGUUAGACCAAAAAAUAACGAAAAAUGAAAAAAAAUAUUUGGGGUUUUCGGGCUUCCUGAAGGUAAUACCUGGGUAUUAGGUUAUGGGGCUGGUAAGGUUUAAGGUUUUGGGUGUUAGGGUUAAAAUCACUGUCCAAAACCUUUAUAGGCACUCUUUUCCAACCUUUUGGAUUUAGUUUGACUAAAAAAAAAGAAAAAUAAAAAAAUAUAUUUGGGGUUUUCGGGCUUCCUGAAGGUAAUACCCGGGUAUUAGGUGAUGGGGCUAGGGUAGGGUUUAAGGUUUUUGGCGUUAGGGUUAAAAUCACUGUCCAAAACCUUUUAGGAACAUGUUUCAGAACUUUUGUAGUUGGUUACACCAAAAAAAAUGUAAAAUGAUAAAAAAAAUAUUUGGGGUUUUCGGGCUUCCUGAAGGUAAUACCCGGGUAUUAGGUUAUGGGGCUAGGGUAAGGUUUAAGGUUUUUGGCGUUAGGUGUUAAAAUCACUGUCCAAAACCUUUGUAGGAACUCUUUUCCAACCUUUUGGAGUUAGUUUGACCAAAAAAGAAAAAGAAAAAAGAAAAAAAAAUUUGGGGUUAUCGGGCUUCCUGAAGGUAAUACCUGGGUAUUAGGUUAUGGGGCUAGGGUAAGGUUUAAGGUUUUUGGCGUUAAGGUUUAAAUCACUGUCCAAAAGCUUUUUAGAAACAUGUUUCAGACCUUUUGGAGUUGGUUACACAAAAUAAAUGUAAAAUGAAAAAAAAAUAUUUGGAGUGUUCAGGCUUCCUGAAGGUAAUAGACGGUUUUGGUUAUGGGGCAAUGGUAAGGUUUAAGGUUUGUGGCGUUAGGGUUAAAAUCUGUGUCCAAAACCUUUGUAGGAACAUGUUUCAGACCUUUUGGAGUUAGUUAGACCAAAAAAUAACGAAAAAUGAAAAAAAAUAUUUGGGGUUUUCGGGCUUCCUGAAGGUAAUACCCGGGUAUUAGGUUAUGGGGCUAGGGUAAGGUUUAAGGUUUUUGGCAUGAGGGUUAAAAUCACUGUCCAAAACCUUUGUAGGAACUCUUUUCCAACCUUUUGGAGUUAGUUAGACCAAAAAAAAAGAAAAAUGAAAAAAAAUUGGGGGUAUUCGGGCUUCCUGAAGGUAAUACCCGGGUAUUAGGUUAUGGGGCUAGGGUAAGGUUUAAGGUUUUUGGCGUUAGAGUUAAAAUCUGUGUCCAAAACCUUUGUAGGAACAUGUUUCAGACCUUUUGGAGUUAGUUAGACCAAAAAAUAAUGAAAAAUGAAAAAGAAUAUUUGGGGUUUUCGGGCUUCCUGAAGGUAAUACCUGGGUAUUACGUUUUGGGGCUAGGGUAAGGUUUAAGGUUUUGGGUGUUAGGGUUAAAAUCACUGUCCAAAACCUUUAUAGGCACUCUUUUCCAACCUUUUGGAUUUAGUUUGACUAAAAAAACAAGAAAAAUAAAAAAAAUAUAUUUGGGGUUUUCGGGCUUCCUGAAGGUAAUUCCCGGGUAUUAGGUUAUGGGGCUAGGGUAGGGUUUAAGGUUUUUGGCGUUAGGGCUAAAAUCACUGUCCAAAACCUUUUUAGGAACAUGUUUCAGAACUUUUGGAGUUGGUUACACCAAAAAAAAUGUAAAAUGAUAAAAAAAAUAUUUGGGGUUUUCGGGCUUCCUGAAGGUAAUACCCGGGUAUUAGGUUAUGGGGCAAGGUAAGGUUUAAGGUUUUUGGCGUUAGAUGUUAAAAUCACUGUCCAAAACCUUUGAAGGAACUCUUUUCCAACCUUUUGGAGUUAGUUUGACCAAAAAAGAAAAAGAAAAAAGAAAAAAAAAUUUGGGGUUAUCGGGCUUCCUGAAGGUAAUACCUGGGUAUUAGGUUAUGGGGCUAGGGUAAGGUUUAAGGUUUUUGGCGUUAGGGUUAUAAUCACUGUCCAAAACCUUUUUAGGAACAUGUUUCAGACCUUUUGGAGUUGGUUACACAAAAUAAAUGUAAAAUGAAAAAAAAAUAUUUGGAGUGUUCAGGCUUCCUGAAGGUAAUACACGGUUUUGGUUAUGGGGCUAGGGUAAGGUUUAAGGUUUUUGGCGUUAGGGUUAAAAUCUGUGUCCAAAACCUUUGUAAGAACAUGUUUCAGACCUUUUGGAGUUAGUUAGACCAAAAAAUAACGAAAAAUGAAAAAAAAUAUUUGGGGUUUUCGGGCUUCCUGAAGGUAAUACCCGGGUAUUAGGUUAUGGGGCUAGGGUAAGGUUUAAGGUUUUUGGCAUGAGGGUUAAAAACACUGUCCAAAACCUUUGUAGGAACUCUUUUCCAACCUUUUGGAGUAAGUAAGACCAAAAAAAAAGAAAAAAGAAAAAAAAAUAGUUGGGGAUUUCGUGCUUCCUGAAGGUAAUACCCGGGUAUUAGGUUAUGGGGCUAGGGUAAGGUUUAAGGUUUUUGGCGUUAAGGUUAAAAUCACUGCCAAAACCUUUGUAGGAACUCUUUUCCAACCUUUUUGGAGUUAGUUAGACCAAAAAAAAUGAAAAAUGAAAAUAAAUAUUGGGGGUAUUCGGGCUUCCUGAAGGUAAUACCCGGGUAUUAGGUUAUGGGGCUAGGGUAAGGUUUAAGGUUUUUGGCGUUAGAGUUAAAAUCUGUGUCCAAAACCUUUGUAGGAAUAUGUUUCAGACCUUUUGGAGUUAGUUAGACCAAAAAAUAACGAAAAAUGAAAAAAAAUAUUUGGGGUUUUCGGGCUUCCUCAAGGUAAUACCCGGGUAUUAGGUUUUGGGGCUAGGGUAAGGUUUAAGGUUUUUGGCGUUGGGGUUAAAAUCACUGUCCAAAACCUUUGUGGCAACUCUUUUCCAACCUUUUGGAGUUAGUUAGAACAAAACAAAAAUGAAAAAUGAAACAAAAAAUAUUUGGGGUGUUCGGGCUUCCUGAAGGUAAUACCCGGGUAUUAGGUUAUGGGGCUAGGGUAAGGUUUAAGGUUUUUGGCGUUAGGUGUUAAAAUCACUGUCCAAAACCUUUGUAGGAACUCUUUUCCAACCUUUUGGAGUUAGUUUGACCAAAAAAGAAAAAGAAAAAAAAAAAAAAAAAAAUUUGGGGGUUAUCGGGCUUCCUGAAGGUAAUACCUGGGUAUUAGGUUAUGGGGCUAGGGUAAGGUUUAAGGUUUUUGGCGUUAGGGUUAAAAUCACUGUCCAAAACCUUUUUAGGAACAUGUUUCAGACCUUUUGGAGUUAGUUAGACCAAAAAAUAACGAAAAAUGAAAAAAAAAUAUUUGGGGUGUUCAGGCUUCCUGAAGGUAAUACACGGUUUUGGUUAUGGGGCUAUGGUCAGGUUUAAGGUUUUUGGCGUUAGGGUUAAAAUCUGUGUCCAAAACCUUUGUAGGAACUCUUUUCAAACCUUUUGGAGUUAGUUUGACAAAAAAAGAAAAAGAAAAAAGAAAAAAAAAUAUUUGGGGUUUUCGGGCUUCCUGAAGGUAAUACCCGGGUAUUAGGUUAUGGGGCUAGGGUAAGGUUUAAGGUUUUGGGUGUUAGGGUUAAAAUCACUGUCCAAAACCUUUAUAGGCACUCUUUUCCAACCUUUUGGAUUUAGUUUGACUAAAAAAAAAAGAAAAAUAAAAAAAAUAUAUUUGGGGUUUUCGGGCUUCCUGAAGGUAAUACCCGGGUAUUAGGUGAUGGGGCUAGGGUAGGGUUUAAGGUUUUUGGCGUUAGGGUUAAAAUCACUGUCCAAAACCUUUUUAGGAACAUGUUUCAGAACUUUUGUAGUUGGUUACACCAAAAAAAAUGUAAAAUGAUAAAAAAAAUAUUUGGGGUUUUCGGGCUUCCUGAAGGUAAUACCCGGGUAUUAGGUUAUGGGGCUAGGGUAAGGUUUAAGGUUUUUGGCGUUAGGUGUUAAAAUCACUGUCCAAAACCUUUGUAGGAACUCUUUUCCAACCUUUUGGAGUUAGUUUGACCAAAAAAGAAAAAGAAAAAAGAAAAAAAAAUUUGGGGUUAUCGGGCUUCCUGAAGGUAAUACCUGGGUAUUAGGUUAUGGGGCUAGGGUAAGGUUUAAGGUUUUUGGCGUUAAGGUUUAAAUCACUGUCCAAAAGCUUUUUAGAAACAUGUUUCAGACCUUUUGGAGUUGGUUACACAAAAUAAAUGUAAAAUGAAAAAAAAAUAUUUGGAGUGUUCAGGCUUCCUGAAGGUAAUAGACGGUUUUGGUUAUGGGGCAAUGGUAAGGUUUAAGGUUUGUGGCGUUAGGGUUAAAAUCUGUGUCCAAAACCUUUGUAGGAACAUGUUUCAGACCUUUUGGAGUUAGUUAGACCAAAAAAUAACGAAAAAUGAAAAAAAAUAUUUGGGGUUUUCGGGCUUCCUGAAGGUAAUACCCGGGUAUUAGGUUAUGGGGCUAGGGUAAGGUUUAAGGUUUUUGGCAUGAGGGUUGAAAACACUGUCCAAAACCUUUGUAGGAACUCUUUUCCAACCUUUUUGGAGUUAGUUAGACCAAAAAAAAUGAAAAAUGAAAAAAAAUUGGGGGUAUUCGGGCUUCCUGAAGGUAAUACCCGGGUAUUAGGUUAUGGGGCUAGGGUAAGGUUUAAGGUUUUUGGCGUUAGAGUUAAAAUCUGUGUCCAAAACCUUUGUAGGAACAUGUUUCAGACCUUUUGGAGUUAGUUAGACCAAAAAAUAAUGAAAAAUGAAAAAGAAUAUUUGGGGUUUUCGGGCUUCCUGAAGGUAAUACCUGGGUAUUACGUUUUGGGGCUAGGGUAAGGUUUAAGGUUUUGGGUGUUAGGGUUAAAAUCACUGUCCAAAACCUUUAUAGGCACUCUUUUCCAACCUUUUGGAUUUAGUUUGACUAAAAAAACAAGAAAAAUAAAAAAAAUAUAUUUGGGGUUUUCGGGCUUCCUGAAGGUAAUUCCCGGGUAUUAGGUUAUGGGGCUAGGGUAGGGUUUAAGGUUUUUGGCGUUAGGGCUAAAAUCACUGUCCAAAACCUUUUUAGGAACAUGUUUCAGAACUUUUGGAGUUGGUUACACCAAAAAAAAUGUAAAAUGAUAAAAAAAAUAUUUGGGGUUUUCGGGCUUCCUGAAGGUAAUACCCGGGUAUUAGGUUAUGGGGCAAGGUAAGGUUUAAGGUUUUUGGCGUUAGAUGUUAAAAUCACUGUCCAAAACCUUUGAAGGAACUCUUUUCCAACCUUUUGGAGUUAGUUUGACCAAAAAAGAAAAAGAAAAAAGAAAAAAAAAAUUUGGGGUUAUCGGGCUUCCUGAAGGUAAUACCUGGGUAUUAGGUUAUGGGGCUAGGGUAAGGUUUAAGGUUUUUGGCGUUAGGGUUAUAAUCACUGUCCAAAACCUUUUUAGGAACAUGUUUCAGACCUUUUGGAGUUGGUUACACAAAAUAAAUGUAAAAUGAAAAAAAAAUAUUUGGAGUGUUCAGGCUUCCUGAAGGUAAUACACGGUUUUGGUUAUGGGGCUAGGGUAAGGUUUAAGGUUUUUGGCGUUAGGGUUAAAAUCUGUGUCCAAAACCUUUGUAAGAACAUGUUUCAGACCUUUUGGAGUUAGUUAGACCAAAAAAUAACGAAAAAUGAAAAAAAAUAUUUGGGGUUUUCGGGCUUCCUGAAGGUAAUACCCGGGUAUUAGGUUAUGGGGCUAGGGUAAGGUUUAAGGUUUUUGGCAUGAGGGUUAAAAACACUGUCCAAAACCUUUGUAGGAACUCUUUUCCAACCUUUUGGAGUAAGUAAGACCAAAAAAAAAGAAAAAAGAAAAAAAAAUAGUUGGGGAUUUCGUGCUUCCUGAAGGUAAUACCCGGGUAUUAGGUUAUGGGGCUAGGGUAAGGUUUAAGGUUUUUGGCGUUAAGGUUAAAAUCACUGCCAAAACCUUUGUAGGAACUCUUUUCCAACCUUUUUGGAGUUAGUUAGACCAAAAAAAAUGAAAAAUGAAAAUAAAUAUUGGGGGUAUUCGGGCUUCCUGAAGGUCAUACCCGGGUAUUAGGUUAUGGGGCUAGGGUAAGGUUUAAGGUUUUUGGCGUUAGAGUUAAAAUCUGUGUCCAAAACCUUUGUAGGAAUAUGUUUCAGACCUUUUGGAGUUAGUUAGACCAAAAAAUAACGAAAAAUGAAAAAAAAUAUUUGGGGUUUUCGGGCUUCCUCAAGGUAAUACCCGGGUAUUAGGUUUUGGGGCUAGGGUAAGGUUUAAGGUUUUUGGCGUUGGGGUUAAAAUCACUGUCCAAAACCUUUGUGGCAACUCUUUUCCAACCUUUUGGAGUUAGUUAGAACAAAACAAAAAUGAAAAAUGAAACAAAAAAUAUUUGGGGUGUUCGGGCUUCCUGAAGGUAAUACCCGGGUAUUAGGUUAUGGGGCUAGGGUAAGGUUUAAGGUUUUUGGCGUUAGGUGUUAAAAUCACUGUCCAAAACCUUUGUAGGAACUCUUUUCCAACCUUUUGGAGUUAGUUUGACCAAAAAAGAAAAAGAAAAAAGAAAAAAAAAUUUGGGGGUUAUCGGGCUUCCUGAAGGUAAUACCUGGGUAUUAGGUUAUGGGGCUAGGGUAAGGUUUAAGGUUUUUGGCGUUAGGGUUAAAAUCACUGUCCAAAACCUUUUUAGGAACAUGUUUCAGACCUUUUGGAGUUAGUUAGACCAAAAAAAAUGAAAAAUGAAAAUAAAUAUUGGGGGUAUUCGGGCUUCCUGAAGGUCAUACCCGGGUAUUAGGUUAUGGGGCUAGGGUAAGGUUUAAGGUUUUUGGCGUUAGAGUUAAAAUCUGUGUCCAAAACCUUUGUAGGAAUAUGUUUCAGACCUUUUGGAGUUAGUUAGACCAAAAAAUAACGAAAAAUGAAAAAAAAUAUUUGGGGUUUUCGGGCUUCCUCAAGGUAAUACCCGGGUAUUAGGUUUUGGGGCUAGGGUAAGGUUUAAGGUUUUUGGCGUUGGGGUUAAAAUCACUGUCCAAAACCUUUGUGGCAACUCUUUUCCAACCUUUUGGAGUUAGUUAGAACAAAACAAAAAUGAAAAAUGAAACAAAAAAUAUUUGGGGUGUUCGGGCUUCCUGAAGGUAAUACCCGGGUAUUAGGUUAUGGGGCUAGGGUAAGGUUUAAGGUUUUUGGCGUUAGGUGUUAAAAUCACUGUCCAAAACCUUUGUAGGAACUCUUUUCCAACCUUUUGGAGUUAGUUUGACCAAAAAAGAAAAAGAAAAAAGAAAAAAAAAUUUGGGGGUUAUCGGGCUUCCUGAAGGUAAUACCUGGGUAUUAGGUUAUGGGGCUAGGGUAAGGUUUAAGGUUUUUGGCGUUAGGGUUAAAAUCACUGUCCAAAACCUUUUUAGGAACAUGUUUCAGACCUUUUGGAGUUAGUUAGACCAAAAAAUAACGAAAAAUGAAAAAAAAAUAUUUGGGGUGUUCAGGCUUCCUGAAGGUAAUACACGGUUUUGGUUAUGGGGCUAUGGUCAGGUUUAAGGUUUUUGGCGUUAGGGUUAAAAUCUGUGUCCAAAACCUUUGUAGGAACUCUUUUCAAACCUUUUGGAGUUAGUUUGACAAAAAAAGAAAAAGAAAAAAGAAAAAAAAAUAUUUGGGGUUUUCGGGCUUCCUGAAGGUAAUACCCGGGUAUUAGGUUAUGGGGCUAGGGUAAGGUUUAAGGUUUUUGGCGUUAGGUGUUAAAAUCACUGUCCAAAACCUUUGUAGGAACUCUUUUCCAACCUUA